rnacentral:rRNA from 1 species
UACAGAGGGUGCGAGCGUUGUCCGGAAUCACUGGGCGUAAAGGGCGCGUAGGCGGCUUGAUAAGCGUGCGGUGAAAGCCCGGGCUCAACCCCGGGUCGGCCGUGCGAACUGUCGAGCUGGAGCACUGUAGAGGCAGGUGGAAUUCCGGGUGUAGCGGUGGAAUGCGUAGAGAUCCGGAAGAACACCGGUGGCGAAGGCGGCCUGCUGGGCAGUGGCUGACGCUGAGGCGCGACAGCGUGGGGAGCAAACAGG